rnacentral:rRNA from 1 species
GACGUAGGGGGCCAGCGUUGUUCGGAAUUACUGGGUGUAAAGGGUUCGUAGGCGGUGUAGCAAGUCGGGAGUGAAAUCUCUGGGCUUAACCCAGAGGCUGCUUCCGAAACUGCUGUGCUUGAGUGUGGGAGAGGCGCGUGGAAUUGCAGGUGUAGCGGUGAAAUGCGUAGAUAUCUGCAGGAACACCCGUGGCGAAAGCGGCGCGCUAGACCACUACUGACGCUGAGGAACGAAAGCUAGGGGAGCAAACAGG